rnacentral:rRNA from 1 species
UACGGAGGGUGCAAGCGUUAUCCGGAUUCACGGGGGUUAAAGGGUGCGUAGGUGGGUUGGUAAGUCAGUGGUGAAAUCCCCGAGCUUAACUUGGGAAUUGCGCUCGAAACUACGUGGCUCGAGUGUGGCAGAGGGAGGUGGAAUUCCACGUGUAGCAGUGAAAUGCGUAGAGAUGUGGAGGAACACCGAUGGCGAAGGCAGCCCCCUGGGUUAACACUGACGCUCAGGCACGAAAGCGUGGGGAGCAAACAGG